AUUAAUUCGAUGCAACGCGAAGAACCUUACCAAGGCUUGACAUGCAGGGAAAACUCACAGAGAUGUGAGGUCCGCAAGGGUCCUGCGCAGGUGGUGCAUGGUUGUCGUCAGCUCGUGUCGUGAGAUGUUGGGUUAAGUCCCGCAACGAGCGCAACCCUCGUCUUAUGUUGCCAGCGGGUCAUGCCGGGGACUCAUAAGAGACUGCCGGGGUCAACUCGGAGGAAGGUGGGGAUGACGUCAAAUCAUCAUGCCCCUUAUGUCUUGGGCUUCACGCAUGCUACAAUGGCUGGUACAAAGGGCUGCGAGACCGCAAGGUGGAGCGAAUCCCAAAAAGCCAGUCUCAGUUCGGAUUGGGGUCUGCAACUCGACCCCAUGAAGUCGGAGUCGCUAGUAAUCGCAGAUCAGCAACGCUG
rnacentral:rRNA from 1 species